UCACGAGCUGGGAGUAGGUUUGGAGGGAGAAAGAGCGUCGAGUGCUCUGCUACGUGCAUGUGAGCGAUUCAAAGCUUGUCCUAUUUUUAUUUAGAUUUAUUUAUUUAAAGAAGAUUAGAAAAGGAUCCUUUCUGGAUUAUAACUACAAGGAACAAUUCUAUCAAAGAUGCCGAACACCUGCUGUGUUACCAACUGCAAUGGUAACUAUAAUUCACAAAAUAAAGUACAUAUAUUCAGUUUCCCUAAAAAUGAAGAGUUACUUAAAAAAUGGGUUAAAGCGAUACCAAGAACUAACCUAACUGUGACUAAAAAUACUAAGGUCUGUGAAAGACACUUUCAAUCAGAUGAUAUUGAGUUUGAAACAACGUUCUACAAGGAAUCUACGGAAGAAACCCUCAGAGCUAAAUUGAAAUAUCCACGAUAAAAAGAUGGAGCAGAGCUCUCAAUUUUUC